UCAUUUGAACAGAGUAAAUCAGAAAGCUUUUCCAGUCCAAAGUAUUCAGUAUUUGUGGGUCACUGAUGUAAAGUAGAAUCUGUGUACAGUUCCAUUCCAUAUUAAUAACCAGGCAGACAAGGAAAUUUAAAUUCACAAUCAGAACAAGAGCAAGACAGGUUCGGUAUAACAGCCUGUUCACUGUACCUGUCAAACUAGCUUUGCUGUAGUAUAACAGCAUAAGAAUGUAACACAGCUUAAAUUCUCUGGUGUGUCUUAUGGGAAAUGCUGUACUAACUGUAUUGUUAUUCAGGCAUACUGCUGAGAGGCUCUCCUUCCAUUGGCUGGUGAGGCUUGCAUCUCAAAUUCUAUUAGAUUUACUAGAGAGAAAAGGGCUGCUUCCACCAACUUGCUUUACAUAUUGUUAGAGCCAAAUGCUGCUUUGUAAUUGGGUUGUAAUUUCUUUGUCUAACACUGGGUGGCGCAUGUUUGUAACUUGGCCUCAGGUAUAAAGGCAGCAGAUACAAUGUUGUCUACAGGUGUUUGACCCGGAAGGGCAAAGGGUUUUUGACCGCUUGCGCGCGGCGCUUUGUAUUGUUACACUGAUGGAAACUGCUAUGGACAGUGCUGUAUUAAAAUAAAUGGACCACUUUGGAUUUCAACGUCAACAUUCGUCUAUACGUUUUUGGUUUAGCACAGGGCAAUCAAGUGAGCAUAGUAACAAAGUGUGUCAAUCACGGCUUCUGCGGGCUCAGACAUCUAAGUAGUUCGGAACCAAAGCGAACUCCUUAACAUUAGUCAAAACCCCCGCAUCAGUUCGGACUUUGUUUACAAACGUCGGAGUCUUCGGCAUGCAUGCAUGGAAUUGAGAGCAGUCGAAGAGCCGUCGGUUUUCUUGUGGAUUAUUGUUUGGAUAUUACGUGGGCUUUUUGGUGACAGGGAGUUGGUUUGAUACCGAAAUCAGACCACGGAGUAACGUUACGAGGGACCAUCUGAUGACGGCACGGCGCCCAAUGAAAGAGCCAGCCCACAACUCCGCAUCGUCAGCCUACGCCCAACCACGGGCUUCCCAAGACGUCACUUCAACGACUACUGAACUUCCAGCCAAUCAGCAACCUCGGGAAACCCCCUUUUCAGCGACAACAAAGGGAACCCCGUUACACAGGCAUCACAAGUAACGUACCUCCAGACUCUGAUCUGUACUGGUGUUAUCUAAUAUAAUUUUAACCUAAUUGAUGAACUCAAUGCGAGGGUUAAUUAAGUGACUGAUGGUUGUUCAUGUCUAUGCAAUUUCACGUAUUGCUGUAAACUUGGGAUUUCACAUUUUCAUUCUCUUAAACUCAUUCUUUCCUAACGUUCUAUCUUCCUGCAACUUGUGUGAAUGUGAGUGCGUGUGCUUAUGUGUUAGAUUAGUUAAUAUGUCUUAGAUUUAUCUAAUAAAGCCUUAUUCAUAUUGAAAAGAGAAGUAUCUUGUGUUUUGUGCUUACAAGUUAAUGUCUUAAACUGCCGAUCUUGUUACUGUGCUAAUUAAUAGUGUUUUCACUAUACUUUGGAUAUUAAUAUCCAGCGCAGAUUUGAUGUUAUACGGCUCGUUCAGUGAAUCGCUGGCCGUUUCAGUGAUCAGCCAUGAAACAGUGAUUCUGUUCAAAUUCCCUUUAAAAUCUUAAAUGAGUCCCUUUGAGCUAAAUUGACCUGUUUCCCUUACAUAACCAAGAAUGUCUCAUGACAGUGUUAAAUUAAGUCCUUGUCAAAUGUAUCUAUACAAUGACACUGUAAGUACUGAAAAGAUCAAAUUGGUUUUUCAGUCAUUUUUAUUGGUUUAAUU
ensembl:lncRNA